UAAUAUGAGAGUUUGAUCCUGGCUCAGGACGAACGCUGGCGGCAUGCCUAAUACAUGCAAGUCGAACGAACCAUCCUGAAGAUUGAAGCUUGCUUCAUGAUUCAGAUUUUGGUGAGUGGCGGACGGGUGAGUAACACGUGGGUAACCUGCCCAAAAGUGGGGGAUAACAUUUGGAAACAAGUGCUAAUACCGCAUAACAACUACUUUCACAUGAUCGUAGCUUGAAAGAUGGCUCUGCUAUCGCUUUUGGAUGGACCCGCGGCGUAUUAGCUAGUUGGUGAGGUAAUAGCUCACCAAGGCAAUGAUACGUAGCCGACCUGAGAGGGUAAUCGGCCACAUU
rnacentral:rRNA from 2 species